UACGUAGGGUGCGAGCGUUAAUCGGAAUUACUGGGCGUAAAGCGUGCGCAGGCGGCUUUGCAAGACAGAUGCGAAAUCCCCGGGCUUAACCUGGGAACUGCAUUUGUGACUGCAUGGCUGGAGUGCGGCAGAGGGGGAUGGAAUUCCGCGUGUAGCAGUGAAAUGCGUAGAUAUGCGGAGGAACACCGAUGGCGAAGGCAAUCCCCUGGGCCUGCACUGACGCUCAUGCACGAAAGCGUGGGGAGCAAACAGG
rnacentral:rRNA from 1 species